CCUCCUAUCCUAUUUGGUCCUAGAUGGACCUUCUCAAUGCUUCGCCCUUUUGGCUCCAUCAAUCACCUUCCCUAGGUUGCGCAUGUCGAGCAACAAGUAAGCCAUUGCUAACUUUCUCCCUUUUCAUAGACCAUACCCUGGCAGUUCCUAGAGCCUCUUUGCCAUCUUUCCCCCUAGCUCCAUCAACCCUUGUUCUAAGUGCUCCAAUCUUUUUGUCGACUUGAUUGCUAUCUCUUUCCAUUCCUUUAUUGCUUUUAUGUCUUUCUUAUAUUAUUCAAAGUGCUUGGCUUUAGAUUCAAAGACCCUUUUGUGCAGCCUCUUGUACUUUACUUAAGCCCUGGCCUCUUCAUCUAUGAUCCUUCCUUUUAGGUUGAUUCCCGGUUUGACGUCCUGGGUGUUUCAUCUUCUAGACACAAAAGGUAGUAAUACAUAUGCCCAACAUGAUACCUGUCAGGCUCGAAAAGCUCUUCAUCUACAAUGACCUUUUGAUUCUAUAUAUGUUGAGCCUCGAAUUUGAAAGGAAUAACACCCCCUUUGAAUUAUGCCUUAUACUGAGUCAUGUUGGAUACAAGAGGUAUAACUUGUUUCCUUCUUGCUUGCCUCAUUAACCCUAUAGGAUCGUAAAGGUAAAUUCAUCACAAUCAAAUCAACACAAAAUGGGAGGAUACCUUAACUGAUGAGACGUCCCCAUCCUUUAGCAUUUGCAAGUUUUGCAAAUCUAUCAGGAGAGAAUGUCAUCUUCUUUGGAUGAUGAUUGGCAAUAUGACCAUUCAAUCGCAUGCACGGGAACUCUUGAUGAUAGUCUCCUCUUUAGAGAUAUUCUAACAACUAAACUUGUAGCAGAAGACUCCACCCUUCAAAAUAUCAAACCCCAUGCUUGCAUUGAUCCACGGCUUGGUACAUCUCUGUUAGUAUCAUAGGAACAAUAGUGUAGUUUUAUCCCUCAAUUCCUUCCAUCAUGGUCAUGGCGGUAAUGGCUAAAUGAGUGUAGAUUUUCCCUCCUUGCGUUGGGAAAAUUAGCAAACCUAGAAAUCAGACUAUGAAGACAUAAAAUCGAUGAUGAACCCAUCCGUCAGAGGUGAUAGCCAAUUCCUCAUGGUAAAAACAAUAUGAUUUGUUGUGUCUAUACCAUUCAUAGAGAAAGCCAAAGGGAAGGUAGGACUUCUUCAAGAAACGCAACUCAUCAUUCUUCUUGAACCCAACCAUUUUCAUAAAAUCGUGAGGUGUACGAUUUUUUGGUACUGACAAACCCAGACUAUCCCAUGGAAUUUUGGGAAAACCUCCAAUUUCUUCCAAAAGCGGAGUCAUCUCAGUGUUUCCAAACCGAAAGGUGGGAUUUUCUGGACUAUGCCAAACAUGGGAAUUUCAUGCCUCAUUUUCUGUAUCAACAAAUAGCCCUUCCCCCUCUUGAUUUGAUUAAUUACGCAAUAAAAAUCAACUUGUUGGCAUAUUUUCUCCAAGUAAUGCACGUAACAUGAAUGUGUCCCUCAGGAUUGUAGAUAUCCAUUCAGACUUUAGACGGGGUAUAUCUAAAAGGAUUUAAUAUGCCAUGUGUAUUUGAUCCAUCCUAGGUUUAACAUGAUACAUGCACAUUUUUCAGUCAGAGUAUGUUUUUAAAAGGGUCUAGACUGAUACUCUCAUGUGGACUACUUGAGAGGAAAGUCAUAAGGUCAUCGACUGCACCACUGAUUAACUAGUGUACCACUAAUAAGCCAUUCCAAUUAGACAAGGGUGUUUACGGAAAGCACGGACACUCAUCAAGUGCCGCUAAAUUGAUAAUAGGCACGAGUGGAGUAUAAUAUUGAAAGCAUGCUUAUGCGAAAGUAAUAACAUGUCGGUAAGUAAUGUACAUGGAAAAAAGUUAGCAUUGUUAAAAGAAAUUCAUAAAACAUAUUAAAUGAAGCAAAUAAAGGAGAUUGGGAAGGAAGGUUCUUAGUGUAGCACUUUCGAGCAAAUAAAGGGGUUGGAAGAGGGAGGUACAUGAAAGAAGUCAAAUAAUUUAGCAACACACACAAGUAAAAUUCUUUAUGGUAAAAGUCGAAAUAUAUCCCCAGAAGAGUCGCCAUGUUGUGGCAGCCUAUUUUCUUGCGAGAGGGGAUUUCGACAUGUGACAACUCUUUUAGCAGGGUGUUAAAAGAGAAGAGUCACCACCUCAUGAUUUUAAGGCGCGCUAGGGAACCUAUUUGCAAAUAACUCUAUUUUAUCUAGUCUGUCUCACCAAAGAUCAGGUAAAAGCUCAAUUUACCUCAAAGAGAAGGGGUUAGGUGCCGAGGUCCACAAUUGCGAUUUCUGACUGAAUUUUACACUACGCGAAUUAUUGAAUUAUAACUACCUUAUGUGAGCAUACCAACUAAAGGAGAAAGUCCAUGUAAUUGAUCAACUAUGCAAUUAAGGAGAUAAGAAAAAAUAAUUCAUUAAGUGAGACGGUAUACUAGGGGAGGAAAUAAAUGGUCCAUUAAUACUAAUUGGUACAACUCUUUGAGAAUUACAAGAUAUAUCUUAGUAAAGUCUAGGUUUCAAAUGGCACGAAGAUAAGAAAUAAUUACACAUGGGGGGUCCUAAUUUUUUUAACCUAAAGGAUCAUGUAGUGCAAUAUAAAUAAUAUUUUUCAACCCGUUUAAAGUACAAGUGUUGCUCAUAUUAUUUAGUGAGCAUAAACUGUCAUCUCCUACUACCCGAUUACUAUAUUGGAAUUGUUUACCUGAAGCGUACUAGUCCAUUUCUAAAUCGCGUCUUUUCUGUGCCUACCUGUCCCCCUUCCUGUAGUCCAGAAGGCUUUGGACCUACUAUAUGAGUGGUUCUUGUCCCCAUCUAGGUUGCUCAAAAAUGAGAAAUUAGGCAUCACAUAAAAACAAGUAGGACUCCAAAUAUGAUGGAAGUAGCACAAAAUGAUAAAGUUUACCUCCACAUAUAAACUUAUAUGCACACAUUUCAAACUGCAUCAGCAUAAUUAAGUAAACGAUCAGUGUCUAUGUUAAUUAUUCCUAAAGAAGGAUUGUAAAAUGAGUAGGCGAUAAGUUUUGAGCAAGCCGAUCUGGAAUUCGUACGUGGGCAGUAGGCCUGUUGGGUUGUUUAAGUCCUAUAAACAUGAUUUCUACACGAUUGAACUUACAUAUUAAGACCAGGCAGUUAAGUAAAGUUGAUUACUAUAGCCAUUAUUUGAGGCGAGUCAAUAUAAGAGGGUAUCGGCAUAAAACAUUUCCAACAAUCAACAUAAAGUCCUAUAGACAUGAUUUCUAAAUGGUCAGACUUAGACGAUUAGGCAUGAAGUUGUUUUAAAUGCAAGUUUGGUUUCAUUGAUCCUAUAGCCAUGAUUUCUAGGAGAAUCAUAUAGUUGGAAGACAUAUCAUCAUCGCCAGUCUCAAUUACUUAAAGAGGAAUCCUGUAGGCAUGGUGUCUAUACGCAUAAAUAAGACAGGAUGAGCAAAUAGCAGACAUAUUCAGUUUGAAUCCUAUAAGCAUAUUUUCUAAUCAUAUUACAAGUCUUGUGAACAGGACUUAGAAUUAAUUAAGGCCCUAAAUCAUGUUCUCUAAGUGUGUAUGCAAAGGUUGAUGGCCUAUAGGCAUGUUGUCUAGACACAAAUAGUUCAUAAGGAUAGAGCAUGGAAAGCAAGAUAACAAAUAGAACAUUUAAACCCUCUAGGCAUCUUUUCUAACCAUUCAGGUAAGAAUUAAAGUACCCCAACCACUACUUUCACUAAUUUCCCUGUUAUUCAUUUCUACAAAUUAUUACAAACCAAAUGGAAUAAUUACAAGCCCACUUACAAAUGUAAAGAUCACCCAGUAACAAAUUUGGGCCUUCUACUAGGUUUUACGACCUCACAUGAACGACAUGCCCAAAACAUCAAGCACUGGUGACGUAUCUCAAAGUCAAUUACCCAAACAUGGCUCAGCAGACUAGGACCAAAUGACAAGGACAUAUAACUUGCUUACCCAUUAACAACCACAAAGAUAUAAGAACCAAUAUACAUGAUACCAAGCUAGUCACACAACUUCAAAUUCAAGCCAGAAAGACACAUAAGGAUUCUUGCAGGCAUAAACAACAUAUAGCACAGAUAGGUUCACAUAUAAUGACUUUCUAGGUUUGUCAAAUAUCUAAAAAAGACGACAUCACAAGGUGGACACCAACGAAUAACUAGAACUUAACCAUAAAGAGCGACAAACAGGGGUUCAAGGCAAAUAUAGUCAUGGUCUGACUCUAAAACAUAACUAAAUAGGAAUUCCAAUUCUAAGAUGAUGUCACUUUAGGUAAGCAAUAUUCAAUAAGAAACCUAGAUGAAACAUGAUCAAUAACUUGUUCGGACAUACUCAUAUUAAGAACCUAACAUGAAGACACAUAAGAAAAGGAAAACUAUGGAAGAUAGCAAUUCUGGUAGGAAGACCCAAACAUGAUAAAUUUAAAGCAGGACACUAUAAGUAGGAGCAUGGUCAAAAACUAAUUCAUAGAAAGCAGUGGAUGGUGACUUAAAUAUGAUGAACUUUGCAUGAAAUUCUACAAUAAGCAUGUUCAAGAAACAAUUGGGAGAAGAUGUCAGUAUCUUCAAGAAAGUUUCAACACAAGAAUCUAAGCAAUGCAUAACUGUGAAAGUCAUACGAAGUUGGGUUAAACCAAAUUAGUAGGCAAGUACCCAAUUCUGAAGGUCAAGUCAUUCAAAUCAUUGCACAUGGUAAAAACUAAACCACACAUGUUGGUGCUUAAAGAGGUUUGAAACUAGCAGGCAAAGAAUUGCAAAACAUCACAUGAACCAUGAAAUCACAGUGAAACAUGUAAGAACAAUAUAAUACUGGAAAUUAAAAAAUAGCAGGAAACUGAGUCAUAGAGGAUUCAAAAUAAUGUUGGCUAACAGAAUUCACAUAGACCUAAUCAUAUAUGAGAGAAGUAAUUUGAAUUGUUAAGUUGAGAACACUAACCAGUUGCAAAGACACACAGAGAAAAAAGUGAGAAACAUAGAAUCCCAGCAAUGGUUCAAUAACAGCAGUUGAGAGAGAGGACAGUGAAACCCCGAAUCUCCAGUGUUUCAGGGCUCACAAGAGCCUCGAGAUGGGCUCCGAGUACUGCUUGUAUCAGCGGAGGUCAUUGACAAUACCACAGUAGCCUUGGCUUUUAGGCGACCACUGACUAACUAGAUACAAUAGUUUCAGAGCAGAACAUAGCAAGUGCAAGUAAGAGAGAUAGUAGUGACUCCUAUCCAUAUUAGGGGAGUUGAGGAAGGGGUUUAUAUGGUGUUCAUUAUUCUUAGUACAUGAAAGGAAAAUACCAAUUACAACGCAAACUAAGGAAAGAAUCACAUGCAGAACCCAUACCAAAUCGGAAUAGGUAAAAAUCAGACAAAUUCUAGUUUGAUAAGAAGUCAAAAUUGGUCAAAGAUCUCACUAAAUCGGACCCAUAUGACUUUGUUGCGAAUGAAUAUAUACAUAUUAUUAUUUGAAUCUUGAAGAUUGAGAUCGAUUUCACUUGAUUCGGAGAAGUGGAACUUGCUAAAAUCGGACAAGUACUAAGUAAUACCACAGUUACGUAAGUAAUGAUGAGGUAGCACACAUAAGGUAAGUAAAUCAUGGAAAGGUUCCGUGAUUUUGUCGGAUUCAGAGAGGAUUGAGGAUGAGGUGGCUAGGAUUCAGCAGAGAAAAGGAGAGAGGUUUAGAGCGUGUAGGGGUGGCGCAGAUGGGGAAAUGGAAUUAAGUUUAGGGGUUUGGGUAGUUAAAAUAGAGGGAUUGCUUAUGGGCCGUUGAUUAUCCAAUAUCAGCGGCCAAGAUUUUAAAAAAGGAGCGGGG
rnacentral:lncRNA from 1 species